rnacentral:rRNA from 1 species
GACGAACGCUGGCGGCGUGCUUAACACAUGCCAGUCGAACGGAAAGGCCCUGCUUUUGUGGGGUGCUCGAGUGGCGAACGGGUGAGUAACACGUGAGUAACCUGCCCUUGACUUUGGGAUAACUUCAGGAAACUGGGGCUAAUACCGGAUAGGAGCUCCUGCUGCAUGGUGGGGGUUGGAAAGUUUCGGCGGUUGGGGAUGGACUCGCGGCUUAUCAGCUUGUUGGUGGGGUAGUGGCUUACCAAGGCUUUGACGGGUAGCCGGCCUGAGAGGGUGACCGGCCACAUUGGGACUGAGAUACGGCCCAGACUCCUACGGGAGGCAGCAGUGGGGAAUAAUGCACAAUGGGCGGAAGCCUGAUGCAGCAACGCCGCGUGCGGGAUGACGGCCUUCGGGUUGUAAACCGCUUUCGCCUGUGACGAAGCGUGAGUGACGGUAAUGGGUAAAGAAGCACCGGCUAACUACGUG